GGAUGUGAAGGCAAUCUGGCUGCAACUCUGUCACCCCACUGAUUCCCAACGUUGAUUCAGCUGAUCUGGCUGGCCAGGUGGGCGUGCCCUUCCUCCCUCACCACUCAGUCUCUUCAUAAGCUGUGCUCUCAGUUUAAGAGGACAUCCUUCUCCGAAUAGAGAUGGAGCAUUUUUUGGUCAAGAGCAUACAAAUAGUUACGCUCCCCUGCUAGAGACUCCAAACAAGCUCUUGAGAAGACUGCAAACUUAGGCCACUGUUUGGAGCAAGGGGGAUAGACCAGUUAGG
rnacentral:snRNA from 1 species